UCUUUCUUUUUCUUUCUCCUUUUCUUUCUCUUCCCUUCCCUUCUUCUUCCAGUCGCCGACACCCCCCUCCCUCAAAAUUUUCCCUCAUCGCUGUCAAGCCCUAAGCAACCUUCAGCCCUCUGAUCGCUCGCUACCCUUCGCUGCUGCCGCCGAUCGUUAAACCAACGCCGUUAGUUUCGUUGAUGGCAUCUUCCAUCAUGCGAAAGGACGCCCCCAGUUCUAUCUCCGUCAGUUUCUUCGUCGCGUCCCUCUAGCGCUCACGCCCGACGGUCAUCCGACGCCUUCUUCACCGGUCAAAUCAACACCGCAAGUAAGUUCGUAGAGCUUCCUUCAGUCAGUUCCACCACCAAGUGCGUUCACGUCAGUCAUCGUUAUUCGUCUCAGCCCGCUAGAUCCGACAUCUAGCCAUCGUUUCUGCUUAGUUUCACUAGUCACCGUUGUUGAGAACUCCAUGACCGGUGGGAGAUCUAGUGGAUUUGGAGGUUUGACAGUUUUGAGAUACUGUCCAGUGGGUUGAAGGUUGUUUUGGUGUGUCGUAAGUCAUUUUCCAGCAGAUUCGAAGUUGUUUCGAAGGAUUUUAGUGAGUUGGAGUCCAUUGGUGAAGUAAUAAAGUGGAUUUGGAUUUUAGCCUAAUUUUUUGGGUAAGUCAUGUUGGUAAGUUUGGAAUGAUUGGUCUGUUGGACUUGUGCUUAAAAAUUAAAAGUGAUUUUUUAUUUGUGUUCUAUGAUCCAAUUUAAGGUUUGUAGGAAGCUAGACAGGAGUUUUUUCGCUUGGACUAAUUUUGGGCUUAAUUUGAGGUAAGUAAUCUUAAUACUAGAACUGCCCACGGGCCAGACACUAGAUAUAUGCUAGCAUGAUAGAUGAAUAUUAUGACACAACGAUAGCAUGAUAGACGGAUAGUAUAGUAUGACCGAUAUAUGUUCUUGUAUGAGGAUCUAAAAGAUUUAUUUGUACACUUAGAUACUUACAUGCUAGUAUGAGAUGAUACUUAAUUCAAUGAGGUUGUAUUUGAUAUGAGGAUAUUAAGGCAUAAAUGCAUGUUGUAGAGCCACAAUGUUGAGGUGCAUAUGCAUGUUAUAGAACCAUGUUGUGAUACUUGUGAUGUUGAGAUUAUGAUAGUAUCUUUACUGAUUAGUUAGAUGCCCACUAGAUGUUGUGUUUCCUUCGGAAUUCACCAGAGAUUGUGUUUCCUUCGGGAUUCACCGGAGAUUGCGUUUCCUUUGGGAUUCACCAGGAGUCGUGUUUUCUUUGGGAUUUACCAGGGGUUGUGUUUCCUUCAAGAUUCAUCAGGGGUUGUGUUUCCUUCAGGAUUCACCAGAGGUUGUGUUUCCUUUAGGAUUCACUAGAGGUUGUGGGUCCUACGGGACUUACUAGAGGUAGUGGACAUACUUAACUACAAUAGGAUAGAAAUCAGUUUUUCAUGUAUGUAUGUGUCCUAUGAGAACUAGAGUAGUUUAUACGUUCCACCAUAGGUAGGCAUCUAGAAGACAUAGAUGCCUAGCCUGACCCCAGUAGUGGGGUUACUUACUGAGUAUUUUAUACUCAUCCUUUCUCAUGUUGUUG